rnacentral:rRNA from 1 species
AGAAUCAACGCUGGCGGCGUGCCUAACACAUGCAAGUCGAACGAGAAAGGGGAGCAAUCCCUGAGUAAAGUGGCGACCGGGUGAGUAACACGUGACUAACCUACCCUCGAGUGUGGAAUAACAUCGGGAAACCGAUGCUAAUACCGCAUAACAUCGGCGCUUCUCAAGAAGUGACGAUCAAAGGAGCAAUCCGUUUGAGGAGGGGGUCGCGGCUGAUUAGCUAGUUGGCGGGGUAACGGCCCACCAAGGCGAAGAUCGGUAGCCGGCCUGAGAGGGCGCACGGCCACACUGGAACUGAAACACGGUCCAGACUCCUACGGAGGCAGCAGUGGGGAAUUUUGCGCAAUGGGGGAAACCCUGACGCAGCAACGCCGCGUGGAGGAUGAAGCCCCUUGGGGCGUAAACGUCCUUUCGACCAAGACGAUAAUGACGGUACUGGUGGAAGAAGCACCGGCUAACUCUGUGCCAGCAGCCGC